CUCCUGGAAACGGGUGGUAAUGCCGGAUGUUCCACAUGAUCGCAUGUGAUUGUGGGAAAGAUUCUAUCGGCGUGGGAUGGGGUCGCGUCCUAUCAGCUUGUUGGUGAGGUAACGGCUCACCAAGGCUUCGACGGGUAGCCGGCCUGAGAGGGCGACCGGCCACAUUGGGACUGAGAUACGGCCCAGACUCCUACGGGAGGCAGCAGUGGGGAAUAUUGCACAAUGGGCGCAAGCCUGAUGCAGCGACGCCGCGUGAGGGAUGGAGGCCUUCGGGUUGUAAACCUCUUUUGUUUGGGAGCAAGCCUUCGGGUGAGUGUACCUUUCGAAUAAGCGCCGGCUAACUACGUGCCAGCAGCCGCGGUAAUACGUAGGGCGCAAGCGUUAUCCGGAUUUAUUGGGCGUAAAGGGCUCGUAGGCGGCUCGUCGCGUCCGGUGUGAAAGUCCAUCGCUUAACGGUGGAUCUGCGCCGGGUACGGGCGGGCUGGAGUGCGGUAGGGGAGACUGGAAUUCCCGGUGUAACGGUGGAAUGUGUAGAUAUCGGGAAAGAAC
rnacentral:rRNA from 1 species